rnacentral:rRNA from 1 species
CUACGGGACGCUGCAGUGGGGAAUAUUGCACAAUGGGCGCAAGCCUGAUGCAGCCAUGCCGCGUGUAUGAAGAAGGCCUUCGGGUUGUAAAGUACUUUCAGCGGGGAGGAAGGGAGUAAAGUUAAUACCUUUGCUCAUUGACGUUACCCGCAGAAGAAGCACCGGCUAACUCCGUGCCAGCAGCCGCGGUAAUACGGAGGGUGCAAGCGUUAAUCGGAAUUACUGGGCGUAAAGUGCACGCAGGCGGUUUGUUAAGUCAGAUGUGAAAUCCCCGGGCUCAACCUGGGAACUGCAUCUGAUACUGGCAAGCUAGAGUCUCGUAGAGGGGGGUAGAAUUCCAGGUGUAGCGGUGAAAUGCGUAGAGAUCUGGAGGAAUACCGGUGGCGAAGGCGGCCCCCUGGACGAAGACUGACGCUCAGGUGCGAAAGCGUGGGGAGCAAACAGGAUUAGAUACCCUUGUAGUC